rnacentral:rRNA from 1 species
UGGGGAAUAUUGCACAAUGGGGGAAACCCUGAUGCAGCAACGCCGCGUGAAGGAUGAAGGUUUUCGGAUUGUAAACUUCUUUUAUUGGGGAAGAUAAUGACGGUACCCAAUGAAUAAGCCACGGCUAACUACGUGCCAGCAGCCGCGGUAAUACGUAGGUGGCGAGCGUUGUCCGGAAUUACUGGGUGUAAAGGGCGUGUAGGCGGGACUACAAGUCAGAUGUGAAAAUUAUGGGCUCAACCCAUAACCUGCAUUUGAAACUGUAGUUCUUGAGUGAUGGAGAGGUAAGCGGAAUUCCCGGUGUAGCGGUGAAAUGCGUAGAGAUCGGGAGGAACACCAGUGGCGAAGGCGGCUUACUGGACAUUAACUGACGCUGAGGCGCGAAAGCGUGGGGAGCAAACA